rnacentral:rRNA from 1 species
CAGUGGGGAAUAUUGGACAAUGGGCGCNAGCCUGAUCCAGCCAUACCGCGUGGGUGAAGAAGGCCUUCGGGUUGUAAAGCCCUUUUGUUGGGAAAGAAAUCCAGCUGGCUAAUACCCGGUUGGGAUGACGGUACCCAAAGAAUAAGCACCGGCUAACUUCGUGCCAGCAGCCGCGGUAAUACGAAGGGUGCAAGCGUUACUCGGAAUUACUGGGCGUAAAGCGUGCGUAGGUGGUCGUUUAAGUCCGUUGUGAAAGCCCUGGGCUCAACCUGGGAACUGCAGUGGAUACUGGACGACUAGAGUGUGGUAGAGGGUAGCGGAAUUCCUGGUGUAGCAGUGAAAUGCGUAGAGAUCAGGAGGAACAUCCAUGGCGAAGGCAGCUACCUGGACCAACACUGACACUGAGGCACGAAAGCGUGGGGAGCAAACAGGAUUAGAUACCCUGGUAGUCC